GGCUUUCUGGCUGGUGGUUUAACUGCUGCUUGUAGACUGCGAUCCUGGGAUGCCAUUACCAUCUUACUGGGCAGCAUUGGAUGUUUUCUGUGUUUCUAAUACUGCCUGGUAAUGAUGAUUAUGGUGUCUCACACACAACGUGGAAA
ensembl:miRNA